AAUUUCCGCAAAGCUGAGUGUGCGUGUGACAGGUGCUGACAAGGCUAGAAAAGUAGGUGCCUCUUCGAUUUCUGAGAUCGGCCCUCGUGGUCUCUGAGCAGCCCAGCUUUUGAGAAAGCGAGCGUCUCUUCGAUUGAUUCGGAGAACGAUGCCUCUUCGAUUUUUGAGAAAGCAAUCAUGCUGGGGGUCUGGCUCUCGAGAUUCGGGGAGC
rnacentral:lncRNA from 1 species